UACGGAGGAUCCGAGCGUUAUCCGGAUUUAUUGGGUUUAAAGGGUGCGCAGGCGGGAGAUUAAGUCGGCGGUGAAAUUUUGCAGCUCAACUGUAAAAGUGCCUUCGAAACUGGUUUCCUUGAGUGUAGAUGAAGUAGGCGGAAUUUGUGGUGUAGCGGUGAAAUGCAUAGAUAUCACGAGGAACUCCGAUUGCGCAGGCAGCUUACUAAACUACUACUGACGCUCAGGCACGAAGGCGUGGGGAUCAAACAGGAUUAGAUACCCCCGUA
rnacentral:rRNA from 1 species